CCUACGGGUGGCUGCAGUCGAGAAUCAUUCACAAUGGGGGAAACCCUGAUGGUGCGACGCCGCGUGGGGGAAUGAAGGUCUUCGGAUUGUAAACCCCUGUCAUGUGGGAGCAAAUUAAAAAGAUAGUACCACAAGAGGAAGAGACGGCUAACUCUGUGCCAGCAGCCGCGGUAAUACAGAGGUCUCAAGCGUUGUUCGGAAUCACUGGGCGUAAAGCGUGCGUAGGCUGUUUCGUAAGUCGUGUGUGAAAGGCGCGGGCUCAUCCCGCGGACGGCACAUGAUACUGCGAGACUAGAGUAAGGGAGGGGGAACCGGAAUUCUCGGGGUAGCAGUGAAAUGCGUAGAUAUCGAGAGGAACACUCGUGGCGAAGGCGGGUUCCUGGACAUUAACUGACGCUGAGGCACGAAGGCCAGGGGAGCGAAAGGGAUUAGAUACCCGGGUAGUC
rnacentral:rRNA from 1 species